rnacentral:rRNA from 1 species
AACGGGGCUUCGGCCCCGGGAUCAGUGGCGAACGGGUGCGUAACACGUGGGCAACCUGCCCCUCACUCUGGGAUAACCCCGGGAAACCGGAGCUAAUACCGGAUACUCCGACCGAGCCGCAUGGUUCGGCCGGGAAAGGUCCGCCGGUGAGGGAUGGGCCCGCGGCCUAUCAGCUUGUUGGUGAGGUAACGGCUCACCAAGGCGACGACGGGUAGCUGGUCUGAGAGGACGACUAGCCACACUGGGACUGAGAUACGGCCCAGACUCCUACGGGAGGCAGCAGUGGGGGAUCUUGCGCAAUGGGCGAAAGCCUGACGCAGCGACGCCGCGUGAGGGAUGAAGGCCCUCGGG